rnacentral:lncRNA from 10 species
AAAUAAAAACCAGAGGAGGUUUCCCUCCCAUCUUGUUUUAUGUCUUUGGGAGCUUGACCUUGUGACCUUCUGGGGGUACUCUUUUGGCAUCCACCCGUCCAGAGAGUGGGAAUUUUCAGGUUCAUGUCGGGCAGCCAGUCUGAAAGGUCCAGGAGUCUGAAAUGCAUCAGCGCACUCUUCAUCCUGAAUGUGUCAAGCCAGUAGUUGGUAGAAACCACUGAGAUCUGAACACCCCACAGAAAUCCAGGAUCCACAUGUCACCAAUCAAGACAGACUGGAGAAAAAGAAACUCUUCUCAGUUGACUGGGAUGACUAGAGGCUGGUAAUGACAAGGGGCUGAAGUUUUCACUACCAUGAGUUGUCACAUCUAAUGGACUUGACAGCCGGAGUGUUUUUAAACACUAAACCUAGCUGGGUGUUUCUCAACUCUGCUGCAUCUUAGACUCAUGUGGAAAAUUUUAUCCCAAAGAAGGGAAAGAGGGCAGUGGACAGGAGGAGAGAAG